rnacentral:rRNA from 1 species
GAUGAACGCUAGCGGGAGGCCUAACACAUGCAAGCCGAGCGGUAUUUGUUCUUCGGAACAGAGAGAGCGGCGCACGGGUGCGGAACACGUGUGCAACCUGCCUUUAUCUGGGGGAUAGCCUUUCGAAAGGAAGAUUAAUACCCCAUAAUAUAUUGAGUGGCAUCAUUUGAUAUUGAAAACUCCGGUGGAUAGAGAUGGGCACGCGCAAGAUUAGAUAGUUGGUGAGGUAACGGCUCACCAAGUCAAUGAUCUUUAGGGGGCCUGAGAGGGUGAUCCCCCACACUGGUACUGAGAUACGGACCAGACUCCUACGGGAGGCAGCAGUGAGGAAUAUUGAACAAUGGGUUAGCGCCUGAUCCAGCCAUCCCGCGUGAAGGACGACGGCCCUAUGGGUUGUAAACUUCUUUUGUAUAGGGAUAAACCUACUCUCGUGAGAGUAGCUGAAGGUACUAUACGAAUAAGCACCGGCUAACUCCGUG